GACGAACGCUGGCGGCGUGCUUAACACAUGCAAGUCGAACGGAAAGGCCCUGCUUUUGUGGGGUGCUCGAGUGGCGAACGGGUGAGUAACACGUGAGUAACCUGCCCUUGACUUUGGGAUAACUUCAGGAAACUGGGGCUAAUACCGGAUAGGAGCUCCUGCUGCAUGGUGGGGGUUGGAAAGUUUCGGCGGUUGGGGAUGGACUCGCGGCUUAUCAGCUUGUUGGUGGGGUAGUGGCUUACCAAGGCUUUGACGGGUAGCCGGCCUGAGAGGGUGACCGGCCCCAUUGGGACUGAGAUACGGCCCCGACUCCUACGGGAGGCAGCAGUGGGGAAUAUUGCACAAUGGGCGGAAGCCUGAUGCAGCAACGCCGCGUGCGGGGUGACGGCCUUCGGGUUGUAAACCGCUUUCGCCUGUGACGAAGCGUGAGUGACGGUAAUGGGUAAAGAAGCACCGGCUAACUACGUG
rnacentral:rRNA from 1 species